rnacentral:sRNA from 1 species
CUGUGCCCACGGUGGCAGCUUUCCCCAACACUUCCUCAACCAGCGUGCCCACGAGUCCGGAGGAGCACAGGCCCUUUGAGAAGGUGGUAAACAAGGAGUCGCUGGUCAUCUCUGGCUUGCGACACUUCACAGGCUAUCGCAUCGAGCUGCAGGCUUGCAACCAAGACACCCCUGAGGAACGGUGCAGUGUGGCAGCCUACGUCAGUGCCAGGACCAUGCCUGAAGCCAAGGCUGAUGACAUCGUCGGCCCUGUGACGCACGAAAUCUUUGAGAACAACGUUGUCCACUUGAUGUGGCAGGAGCCGAAGGAGCCCAAUGGUCUGAUCGUGCUGUAUGAAGUGAGUUAUCGGCGAUAUGGCGAUGAGGUAAGGCCCUUGACUCUUGGGCAUGCCCCUGCACACUUCAGCAUGCCCCUUCAGAGUUGCACUUGGUACCUCCUUCCUCUGCUGAAAUUUUGAUUCCAGUGCUUCUCUCAUCAGGUACUGUGCUAUUAGCACUUAAAGCCUUGAUACCUGACUUCACAGGAAGAUGG